AUUUAUUUCUUCACACCUGUUUUUAUUUCUUAUUUACCUCAAGAUUCUUCAGAAGGUUUUAAGAGUGGAUAUCCAGGCCCCAAAAGAUUGGGAAGUUUUGAAAGGAAGUUCAGGUCCACAUGGAGGCACAAUUGACAUAUGGAAUCAUCAUUUCUUGCCAGAUCUGCCCAGGAGGAAAAUGGUGGGAUGUAUUCCCAAGGCUUGUGGAUGAGUGGUUCUACCUGACAACGUGAAAAGACAUUACAUCUGUGCCAUGGGUCAAGAAGGAG
rnacentral:lncRNA from 1 species